GACCCUGUUGCAUAAUGGUAGUGCGUCGCGGAUACGUGUCAUUCCAUCGGGAUUGUUUGGUGAUGUUCUCAGUUCGAUUCUGAGUAGGGUCG